AAGACUAUAGACCUGCGGAGUAUCUGCGGAAGGAUCAUUAGUGAACGCCCUCACGGGCUUAUAACUAUUCCAAACCUCUGUGAACCGUGCCCUUCGGGGCUAUUUUACAAACAUGGUGUAAUGAACGUCAUAUAUCAUAACAAAACAAAACUUUUAACAAUGGAUCUCU
rnacentral:misc_RNA from 1 species